rnacentral:rRNA from 1 species
ACCUCGUCUCCACUGUAUCUGUUCCCGGGAAUACCCUAAAAAAGGAACCUUUCCUCUCCCCAGCCAUUUCAUUUCGGGUUAAGAAGAUGCGAAAGCGCCUCUUUCUCUAUAAGAACGGUGCGUUCCGAGGCGUGAAGUGGGAGAGAGGGGAUUUCAUAAUUGGGGUUUUGAAUAAGACGACCUUUUCAUUUUUUUUUUUCAUAUUGAAAAAGUAAUAAGAAUGAGAGGUGUUAAG